GAGGAGGACGGGGAGGAGGCGCGAAGGCGGGAGAAACAGCCCAGCCCCCUGGUGCCUCCUGCAGCCCGGGGCUGUGCCUCUCGAGUCCGGCGCCGCUGGUGAACUUUGCGGCAUACUGUUCCAAUGCCUCAUCCUUCCUGCAGAAACGGACAACUGGGAGCUGUGGUUGUUAUGAAUGUCCCAGCCCUACCAGACUCACAUUGCCUUCAUACCCAUGUGGAAAGAAAAGCAAAAAUUAUCUGUCUACACUGCUCCUCAUUCUACAAAACUGUUUAAUGAUUUUGCGCACAAUGAACCACUGAGGAAGAAAGACCACAAGGAACAGCUGGCUAUUUAGCAUCAUUAAAGGAAGAGAAGAAUUAAAUAAUUGCGAACUUUUGAUCAAAAGCAAAAAGAAGAAAACCCUGAUUGAACAGCAUACCUCAAUUUUUCUGGAACUGGAUGUUCUUAGAGGACAUUAAUGAUCUUGUUACCUGUUCAACUAAAUUUAUUUUUAAUCUCCAUUUCACCCAUCAGACUCCACAAACUAUCAAUAGCACAGUAUUCAGAAUGAAAAAAAAUUAAUUCUUUGAAACAGCUGUUGGGAAAAAAUAUUAUCUCUAAAGGAAGUCAUUCACAGCAAUGAAGCUGAGGAAAGACAAAUUGCAGUAUUUGUUUCUCCAAGAGGUAGUAACUGUAAAAGGGGAAGGUUGUGUUAUCAUUUGUGUUUGCUGAUUUUUUUGCCUUUCAUUAUACAACAAAAAUCAUGGCAGUGAAGAAUACAAUCUUCUUACUAAUUGUACCACAAAUCAGGCUGUCAUAAAAAUAAUAGGGGAGGGGGGAAAUGCAACUUGCAACUCUCAAAUAGAAAUAACAUUUUUUUCCCCUAAAACAAACAAAGAAACAAACUCCCACAUUUAAACUUGUUUUAACUGUUGUACAUAAAAAUACAUGUCUGGUAAGUAUAAUUCUCUUUAGUAAGUGAUUUUAAAUAUUUUUAAAAUUUUUAAAGAAAUAGGGAGUUCUCAGGAAACAAGGAACAUAAUUAGUGCUUUGCUUUUUAAAAUUAAAAUUCUCCCCAGUUAUAAUGACUUUAAAAGUUUACUUUCUAUAAAACACUAGUCAUAAAACAAAGUGACUUCUGUGUGUUGGUGAAUGCUCAUUUUCGAGCUUGACUUCUAUCGAUGAUCAUACAUUUUAUAAUUCAUAAAUCACUGUGAUGAUAAUGUCUGCUUUGAAGGGAAAUCUAAUUUUUCUCUGUUAUGGUAGGAGAAAUUUUAGUUGGACAGUGCUGGUUUUUUGCUGGCUUUUUUUUUCCACUGCCUUGGAGAAAUUUAAAAAUCUGAGCUGAAUAUGAAAAUGGCUAUUGCUGACUUAAUCCAUAUCAACUAGGCCAUUUUCUUGCAGUCACAAGAUCUUGCACUCACUGUUGCUUUCCAAGCUAGGAAAGAUUUCCCUCUAGGGUCUUUUGGAGGGUAUUGCUGCACAAAUAAUCAAUGGGAAAAACAGAAAGUUGGAAGCUAAGACUGUAUUUUAGAAAUUCAACUAGUCAAUAUCCUAAAUACCUAUUCCUACCCAACAUCUUGAUCUAGUUCCUCACUCUUAAGUUGUCCUUUAACAGAGAACUGACUACUUAGACACCAGCGUUGUUCAAAAUUGUAUCUAGCCCAAAGAAGAAAAUUACUACAUAAAAUAUCACCUUAUUGUGUAUACUUUGCAUUUCUUCAAACUAACAUAUACUUAUAGGAAUUACUUACUAAAUUUAAUCUUUCCAUAAAUGGAUUUUAAAACAGGAACCCUAAAAGAACAUUCCUGAGAAAAUGAAUAAAUUAGAAUGUAUUAGAAACUGUUAUCAAUUAUAGAAAAUCAUCUCUGUAAUUAAAAAAAAAUUACUAGCAUUAUCAAUAAAAUCACCAAGUUUUUGUAAUCAUGAAAGCAUUGUACACAUAUAUAAGCAUAAAGUUGUAAUACUGAUAAAACUCAGCUAUUUUGUUUUGUAGGUUUCUUCCCUUAUUUUUAGCUUCUGAGUGUGUAUCAUUACUGUAGAAGUCAAUCAGAAAAAUAGCAUUUUUUUCCCCCCAAUGCAUACUUGAGCUUCAUUCAUAAAAGAAACAUUGUUUUGUUUUGCUUUUUCUUAAGCUUAUUUAUAAGUCAAAGAUAAAUUUCAGAAGGACAAAAAAUCUCCAAGAAGGACAGCAAACCACUUUGAACUUGGGAUUCCAGAACAACAGAAGUCAGAGCUACAGCCUAUAGUUCAAGCUCAAGUAGACCUUUUUAUCCUUGAAGAACUACAGAAGAAUAACUUCAGCACUUUUUUUUUUAUUCUCUUCGGACUAUAACAAAGAAUCUGAGGAAAAAGGAAAGGAAGGGAAGCUAAGCAAGGGAAAUGAGAAAUGUUCCUUGCUAGAAGUAAAUCUUGUUCAUACUUUAUAUAUUUUUAAACAGGAUCAGACCAAUUUUAAAUACUCCAUUUCAGAAUGUAAAAGAAAAUCACAAUUUUACUGGUGCUUGAUAGAGGAAGGGAUCUCUCAGUCUCUUUUUCCUAGAGGUUUGCUCCCAACGAGACCUGGAGCAUUCUAAGCAAGCAAAGUUACAAAAAAGCCAUAUCAAACCAUGAUAAGAUGAUUCAAAAAAUUUUAAAAUAAGUUGACAUUAUGAAACCUGACAUCAUUUCUCAGAGAGCAGUUUUUCUUAAAGUUAUAAAAGAGAUAAGAGAAAUAUUAAUAUUGUUUAUCAUCUAAACCUCCACAGCCAAACUUGAACUAACUUCUUUAUUAAAAGGCAUUCAAGCAAUUUCUGUGCUUACCUGCUAAAAUUGAGUAAUUUGUUACAGAAUUCCACAGUUGUUGUCCAGUUAUUUAAUGUAAAAGGCUGUCACAAAUUAACUGAGUAGAGUCACCGAUGGCUUUCUUGGUGAAUGAUUCUCAACCUUUCCAAGGUGAUGAUCUAGUAGUUGAAGAAAACAACAACAGAAUUGCAUGUACUAGGAAAGCAAGGGCUUAUAGUGAAUAAGUUUAGUUAUUUUUUCUUAUAUUUCAGAAGCUGGUAAAGACUAG